AGAGCGAACGCUGGCGGCAGGCCUAAUACAUGCAAGUCGAGCGGCCACUUCGGUGGCAGCGGCGGACGGGUGAGUAACGCGUGGGAAUGUGCCCUUUGGUACGGAACAACUGAGGGAAACUUCAGCUAAUACCGUAUGUGCCCUUCGGGGGAAAGAUUUAUUGCCAUUGGAGCAGCCCGCGUUGGAUUAGCUAGUUGGUGGGGUAAACGGCCCACCAAGGCGACGAUCCAUAGCUGGUCUGAGAGGAUGAUCAGCCACACGUGGGACUGAGACACGGCCCAGACUCCGUACGGGAGGCAGCAGUAGGGAAUCUUGCGCAAGUGGGCGAAAGCCUAGACGCAGCCAGUCGCCGCGUGAA
rnacentral:rRNA from 1 species